rnacentral:rRNA from 1 species
GGGUUGUGAGGUUAAGCGACUAAGCGUACACGGUGGAUGCCCUGGCAGUCAGAGGCGAUGAAGGGCGUGCUAAUCUGCGAUAAGCGCCGGUAAGGUGAUAUGAACCGUUAUAACCGGCGAUACCCGAAUGGGGAAACCCAGUGUGACUCGUCACACUAUCAUUAACUGAAUCCAUAGGUUAAUGAGGCGAACCGGGGGAACUGAAACAUCUAAGUACCCCGAGGAAAAGAAAUCAACCGAGAUUCCCCCAGUAGCGGCGAGCGAACGGGGAGGAGCCCAGAGCCUGAAUCAGCAUGUGUGUUAGUGGAAGCGUCUGGAAAGGCGCGCGAUACAGGGUGACAGCCCCGUACACAAAAGCGCAUGUGCUGUGAGCUCGAUGAGUAGGGCGGGACACGUGGUAUCCUGUCUGAAUAUGGGGGGACCAUCCUCCAAGGCUAAAUACUCCUGACUGACCGAUAGUGAACCAGUACCGUGAGGGAAAGGCGAAAAGAACCCCGGCGAGGGGAGUGAAAAAGAACCUGAAACCGUGUACGUACAAGCAGUGGGAGCCCCACCACCAAAGCAUUUGCUGUACCG